GCCUCAGUCGCUCUUCCGUUCUGUCUUCUCCUCUUCCUUGCCUCCGCUAGGGUUUUGCCAAUCCGGGCUCUCUUGGCAGAGGGAUUAGCUUUGCUGGAUCUCAUCCGUUGUUUCAGGUAUGGUUUGCCCUGUUUGCCGUUGUCCGGGUGCUCCGUGCUUACCAGUUGUGGAAGCUCAUGAAGUCCCAGAGGUUUUCGAUGUUGUAGUUGAUGAUGCUUGCUUCGGGAGGAUGCAGAUCUGCUGCUGUUGGUUUGGUGGACGAAGGAGAAGGUAGUUGCCAGCAAGAAUCGUCUGGAGAAGUUGGUCAGAAACAUCAGAAGGCAACAAGAGAUCUGAGCUUUUUUUCUCCUCCCAUGGUGGCGGCUGUGUGGGUGUCGAGAAAGAAAAAAGAGGAGGCAAGGGGGAAGACCUAGUGAG